UCCAGGCCUGCUGCCUGGGACAGAGCCCCAGAACUGACAGCGGCAGACAACCUCAGAGAAGGCAAAAUGAUAGUCUUAUGCUUCAGCCCUGUUCUCUCUGGUCCUCACUUUCCCCCAGAUAUCAGAGCUACCGGUGCUGCAGGCAUGCGAGCCCAGAGGCAGGCCUUGCUGAUAGGAGGCAGACUUCAUCUUUGUGUGCACCAUUCACUGGUCACCCUGGGCGCUGUGGACUCAAUACAGAGACAGAAUCCCUUCUGAGGCCAGUGAGGUUUAUCAG